rnacentral:rRNA from 1 species
GACGAACGCUGGCGGCGUGCUUAACACAUGCAAGUCGAACGGAAAGGCCCUGCUUUUGUGGGGUGCUCGAGUGGCGAACGGGUGAGUAACCCGAGAGUUACCUGCCCUUGACGUUGGGGUAACUUCAUGAAACUUGUGCUGAUACCGGGUAAGCGCUUCUGCUGCAUGGCUGUGGUUGGUGAGUUUCGGCGGUUGGGGAUGGACUCGCGGCUUAUUAGCUUGUUGGUGGGGUAGUGGCUUAGCAAGGCUGUGACGGGUAGCCGGCCUGCGAGGGUGACCGGCCAAAUUGGGACUGAGAGCCGGCCCCGACUCCUACGGGAGGCAGCAGUGGGGAAUAUUGCACAAUGGGCGGAAGCCUGAUGCAGCGACGCCGCGUGCGGGAUGACGGCCUUCGGGUUGUAAACCGCUUUCGCCUGUGACAAGGCGUGAGUGACGGUAAUGAGUGAAGAAGCACCGGCUAACUACGUG